rnacentral:rRNA from 1 species
GACGAACGCUGGCGGCGUGCUUAACACAUGCAAGUCGAACGGAAAGGCCUGCUUUCCCUUGUGGAUUGCGGGUACUCGAGUGGCGAACGGGUGAGGAACACGUGAGUGAUCUGCCCCCAACUUUGGUAUAAGCCUGGGAAACUGGGGCUAAUUCCCGAGAGGACUGCAGGGUGGUGCCUGUGGUGGAAAACGAUUUUCUAGUGGUUGGGGAUGGGCUGGCGGCCUAUCAGCUUGUUGGUGGGGUAAUGGCCGACCAAGGCGGCGACGGGUAGCCGGCCUGGGAGGGUGGGCGGCGACAUUGGGACUGACAUACGGCCCAGACUCCUACGGGAGGCAGCAGUGGGGAAUGUUGCACAGUGGGCUGAGGACUGGUGCAGCGACGCCGCGUGGGAGAUGACGGGCUUCGGGUAGUAAACUCCUUUCGACCGCGAGGAAGCCACCUGGUUGGAAGGGUGGUGACGGUAGUGGUAGAAGAAGCACCGGCUAACUACGUG